AUGAGAUGUACGACAUGUCCUGUUGCUGCCGUACGUACUACUAGUACUAAUCUAAGCGGCUGAGCAGCGCCGGUCGAAGAAGGAAGAGUGUUUCAGCUCGGCGAGCAUUUGCUGCUGGGUGUGUGCAGUACGCAUGUUGGAGAGGGAGUUGUACUACCAAACCUUGGGACAGGUCAGCAUCGUGUACUCCAGCUUUGCUCUCCCCUUGUACUGAUGGAUGGGCAAAUUGGCAGGCUAUGAGAUGUGGUACUAGCUAGUACUACUGUACUAGCAGUGGAAUGGUUCAAGGCAAAGACAUUGCGUUGCGUGUGUAUAUAUACAUCUCCCAUGUUUCUUGAAUCUUGACGAUGAUGGCGUUGGCCUAACCGGAUUUGCAGUGCAUCAGUGCAGGGGAGGAGGAAACUGCGCGGUCUGAUGGAGAUUGGGCAAGAUUGGGACGGAAGGAAGCAGAACAAAGCGAAAAAUUCAAGAUAUGCUUUGCGAUUUGCCAAUUGCAAUAGUUUGCAAUAGAAUCUCCGUAGUAUAAUUUUUGGCAUGUCCUGCUGUAACUGCCGGAAAGAACAAAAGAAAAGCUCAAUCUUGGUUUUCAGACCAUGCAAUGCAAUGAUGAACCGUUUGUUACUACUCCAUCAUGACA